UUGAUCCUGGCUCACAACGAAGUCAGACGGCGCGUUUUAAGCAUGCAAGUCGAACGGUAGUAAGGUGCUUGCACCUUAUGAGAGUGGCGAACGGGUGAGUAACACGUAGGUGAUCUACCGUAAAGUUGGGGAUAGCCUGUGGAAACACAGGGUAAUACCGGAUAAUUCUUAUUGUUUACGGACGAUAAGGGAAAGGGGCCACGGCCCUGCUUUUCGAAGAGCCUGCGUUCCAUUAGUUAGUUGGCAGGGUAACGGCCUACCAAGGCGACGAUGGAUAGCCGGCCUGAGAGGGUGACCGGCCACACUGGGACUGAGACACGGCCCAGACUCCUACGGGAGGCAGCAGCUAAGAAUCUUCCGCAAUGGGCGAAAGCCUGACGGAGCGACGCCGCGUGGACGAAGAAGGCCGGAAGGUUGUAAAGUCCUUUUCUCGAUGAAGAAUAAGGCAGCGAGGGAAUGCGCUGUCGAUGACAUUAGUUGAGGAAUAAGCCCCGGCUAAUUACGUGCCAGCAGCCGCGGUAACACGUAAGGGGCGAGCGUUGUUCGGAAUUAUUGGGCGUAAAGGGCGCGUAGGCGGCUUGGCAAGCCUGGUGUGAAAGGCCACAGCUUAACUGUGGGAGUGCGCUGGGAACUGCCUAGCUAGAGUUUCGGAGGGGAAGCUGGAAUUCCUGGUGUAGGGGUGAAAUCUGUAGAUAUCAGGAAGAACAUCUGUGGCGAAGGCGAGCUUCUGACCAGAAACUGACGCUGAGGCGCGAAAGCGUGGGGAGCGAACAGGAUUAGAUACCCUGGUAGUCCACGCUGUAAACGAUGUGCACUAGGUGUUGGCUGUGAUAACGGUCAGUGCCGAAGCAAACGCGAUAAGUGCACCGCCUGGGGAGUAUGCUCGCAAGGGUGAACUCAAAGGAAUUGACGGGG
rnacentral:rRNA from 1 species